AUAUGCUGUGAGAGAGGAAAAAAAAUUGCUUAAGAUUGGAGCAAGUACAGUAUCUGGCUGCCCCCUAGUGUAAGUCUCUUAUCUGCCUAAAAUUCAACUUUAAAAGAAAAGGAUCUCUUAAAGGGAAACGACUUUUGGCUCACGUAUGCAUACGAGAAUGAAACUUCUGUACAUUUUAAUCUGAUUAAUUCCUAAGGAUUUAAAAUUAAUUGGCUUGGGCACUCUUAGACCGGACUAUAAGAUUUCUGCAUCAGGGUUGCAGCGAGUGCUACACCGAAUAGGAACCGUGCCUCGCAUGCUGUUGUCAGAGCAAAACACUUUUGCUGCUUAAAGUCAGAUCUACGUCUUUUGCAAUAAUAUUUAAAAAAAAAAAAAAAGAAAAAAAAAAAGAAAAAAAGAAAGGAUAAAUAAUUGCCUUAAAGCCUCAGCCGAACUGCCAACCACACCUUCGGAUGUCAGAAGGCAGAAAUAUGUGAACUGCUGAGAGAGGUGGGUACUUUUUGCCCCAAGUGCAGUACUUCAUAAAGACAUGAAAAGGACAUCCCAGACAGCAGGACCCGAGCCCAGGCUUGUCACAGAGUAUAAAAGGAGAGAGAAGGGGAGUUUUUAUCUCUUUGCCCCGCCAACUCUUAAUAGUUCUAAGUUUCAGUGUGACAAUAAAACAGUUUUGAUAACACAGCUCAUGGGUUUCUCUGCCACAUAAAGUUUUCUUAAUAAUAAAAAAGAAGAAACUUUAUCCCUGCUAAAUUAAAAUAGGGCAGAUGUUGGAUAUGGUUCAUAUUAGCCAGCCUUUCACCCCUUUGCCCCUGGCACUAAAGUUCUGACUUUUUCUUUCUACUAUGUCUGUUUCUAACUGAAAGGCAUUAUUCCUGCCCCUGGCUCUCUUCUUCUAUUUGUUUUUUCAGCGUCUAAAAUUAAACCUAUUCAUUUAGUAAUAUACAUUCUAUUUCAGAUUGCUAAACCUGGCCAGAGAGGGGAAACGUUUUCCAAAAAGUGAUGCACCACUGACCUUAAAAGAAAACAUGAGGCAGAGAAAGCUGUUCUUAAAAGGUUUAUUUCUAGAGAGUUUUGUAGCUCUGUUGACAUUACAGGGAUAAUGGCUGUAUUGCAAUGGGCUUUCAAGGCCCGAGAGGUUUAUGUUUUCUUCUGACCACGAGUAUAAUAAAAUUUUAAAGGUGCACCAAGUCUCAUCACUUUAGAUAUUUAAAACUAGAUUGAAAAAACCCUUGGGAAACAUACGUUAUAGUGGACAGCCCUGCUGAGAAAGCAGGGAAUAGACAAAAAACCAUACCCCAAACCCAAAUCCAAAUAACCCCCCCCAAAUUUUUUUUUUUUUUUUCCUAGAAGCUAGCUCUAUGAAAAUCCUGGCUAUUAAACUCCCAAGGAUAGCACAGCUCUUUUCGCCGGGGCUGCGAAGAUAGAAUUUAUUGUCCAUUUGGAACGAUCAAGUUUAGGCUAAUAAAAGGCCCUCUGUAAGCAGAAAAUGCCCAAGUUGAUGUUUGGCAGAGUUUUCAAUGGUGGAGUUUAUAUAGGAUGGGGGCUCUGCACUAUUUGAAAUCACUCCUAUCUCAGCAGCCGAAGAUGAUUUGCCAUAACAGAAGUAAACGUUAGUAGGCAGCGGCUGAAGGUUAAUCAGCAUCGCUCUCUGAACUGGACGGUUGAAAGCAGGAAAAAGUGAAAGCUGCUCUCUCCAGCCCUUCCCUUUGCUAAGGAACUGCUAACUUUUAUGAUUUUUUUUUUUUUUUCUCUCUCUCUCUUCCUCUUUUACUAUCUGUCUUUGUGCCUGAGGGCCAGUGAAAGAACACUGCAGAUUCUAGAUUGCUUUCAGAGUUUCCCUUUGCUGAUGAUGGAUUACCAUGUCAAUUUAAACGGCAUAGGAUUAAUUUGUUUCAAUGAUUUCUCUUUAGGCUGAAUGCCAGUCUUUUUUUCCUCUCUCUCCUUGCUCCUAAUAAUAAUAAUAAUAAUAAUAAUAGUAAACAAUAAUAGCAACACCAAUAACAAUAAUAAUUCCUUAAAAAAACCCAAACAUUUUUGAUAUCCCACAUUAAAAAGACAAUAAUAGAAAUAGACAAGUUAGGUGUAAUGUUGCAAUACAGUUAUAGGUUUGAGUGUUUUUAUCUCAUUCUAAGGGACUGAAGCAUACAGUCAGUCACAUUAAAAUGAAAUUGGAUCCAACGUUUAUUCAAUAAAUACUUGUCUUGUAGGUAAUCCAGAGCAGAGUGCUUUUGACACAUAAGGACUUAAUUUGUCUUGGAUAACAAGUUAUUAAUAUGGCACAUUUAAACUUGCCACCUACAAUAAGGUCAUUUAGAUCUAUAAUACGAUUGGCGAGAGAACUUCAUAAAAGGCAGAAGCAAAGUUUGAAACGGCCUCCGCGCUGCGGGAGCAGACGCACGGCUCGUGGUUUGCUCUUUUCAGAAGAAAGUUUGGAGCAAGUUCGGAGCCACCCCAACCCAAACGGUGCGCAUCUGCUCCUCUUUGAAAGGCAAACAGAAACGGGAGUGAGGAGAGGGGAAAAAAAAAAAAAGAAGAACCCAAACACACAUUUUUGAAUGAGUAAGCUUUAAAGCUGUGCUGCGUCUGCUAGCGAGCCCAUCGCAGCUUUGAAAGUGAAAAAACAACAUUUGGUUCCGAGUGGAAACUCGCCCGCGUUUGCACCCUACCUCUUCCAUGCGCUUUGCAAUUUACUUGCUUUUAAUAAUAAGCGAGGAAGUUGGGCCGUAAUCCGCCCCGAAAUGUUCUUGCUGUAAUUUGUCGGUGCCGUGUUUGCUCACGCAUUAAGCCGUAGACGGAAAGCAAAGCGGGGAUGUAUGGCCGUGAUCCCCCCGUGCAGCCUGAACAAACAGAGGUGUUUUGGUACCGGCUGGAUUUCAACCCCCCCAAAAAAAAACCCCUCCACAACUGUUUUAAAAUUUGGAAAGCGGGAGGUGGGGUGUUUCGUUUCAGACUUGUCCCGACCCAACAAUGCCUGCCAGAGGUGCACCAGGAGGGGCAUACCGUGGGCAUUCUACACGGGACGUGUUUUGGGGCUGGUGGUUUGAUCUCCACGUCGCACACGCGAGCUUUUUUGCUGCUUUUAUGUAUUAAGCUCUCGGUCGUUCUUGCCCUGGCAGAUUCUGUCUCUUUAAGCAACUAAAUCUCAUUUUUUAAGCUCUUCCUGGGAAAAGGAUGUUACACAUGAGUAGAAAAAUGCAGGCAAGAAAGGCUAAUUGAAUGAAAAGAGAGAAUUAGGUUAAAAAUAGAGUACAAUCUAGUAUCACAUUUUCACUAGUGUAACCUGAAAUGAAGGUGUCUCCAAGUCCCUAGUGAUGCCAGAGUGUUUAGAUGUUGGGCACAGAUGGAGACACCUAUUGAAAUGUGUCUGAAGAAGAUUAAUAGGACUUGUCAGUGUUGGGAAAGCACUGCUUUGCUGUAAAUUUCUACUAGCACAAGAUGAAUUACCGAUGAAUGCUCAGUUAUCAACCCCAUCACUAUCAUUGGACACUAAAUCAAAUUGAGCAGUUAUCUACAAUCAGAAAAUUUCUUUUAAAAAUAGGCAUACACCUUUAGGCUUAAACUCUUUAAUAAGACAAUAUCCUCUAUGGUAUGUGUGUGUUCACGAAGGGAUAUGAUUUAAAGUUUCUAUACAAAAAGCUUCUGUUCGGAAACGAACUCCCAAGUUUAGUGUGAAAUCAGGGUUGUCAAACAAUAGAAGAUAUUCAGAAAAUACUGGUCAUACAACACAACGUUCUGCUGGGGGCCUGAUCCAAAAUGGAUUUUCAUGCCAUGUCAUUACAUUUUGGAUCCGUCACUAUUUUUGAAAGGUUUUUUCCAUCAUGCCUCUCCUCUUAUUUUUGGUGAUGAUAAAAACCCCUUCUCUCUACCUUAAAGACUGAACAUCCAAAUCAUAUAUUAAUGCAAAAUAGCUGUCAAGACUCAGGAUAUAUGUAUAAUAAUAAUACCACCCCCCCAACAUAUUUAGGAAAUUACAUCUUAAUAUAAUGAAGUAUGUGAUGAAAGAAUCAAUGAAUAACGUUUUUACAUGAAAAUAUUUCCUUCUGUUCUUUGUAAAAGGGGAAACUGUCACAAGCAAAACUAUCACAAGCAUUUACCAGCCCACUGAUAAUGUACAUUAGCUGUAUUUACCAUGUGAUGCUGCUGAUGACAGUGAUUUUAAACAAGCAUUAUAUAUAUUUUCAGUUUCCAGGAUUUCUUUCUCUCUCACCCAGGCAUUUUACUACUUUAUCCAAGGAGAUUUAUCGUGGCAUGCUUUCCAAAGUCAAUUUUUCCUUUUAUUAUAGACAAGGGCAGUCAUUUAUGUUUAGGGAGGGAGACAGGUACAGUGCCUUUAUCUGAUCUGUGUCCCCAGCCACAGCUACCACCUUAAUCGACGGCAAACUCCCACUCUGGAGGAUCAGGCCCUAUCUGGGCUACUUCUCAGCCAAGGAAUGUAUCCUUCCCUUCAUCUCCACAUUUCUUACCUGUGAUGUAUGCUACUUUUUGAGGAGGGAAUAAUAUGCUAUUUACCACAAAGCACAGCUUCAAAGCCUUUGUGUGUUUCUCAUCUCUAGCCAGAGCUUAUUAUUUACCACCUUAAAGAUUUACCCAGCUGAGGGAUAGUAGCAGUUAUUGUCUUCGUUUUUACAUCCUAAUUUUCACACAGCAAAUGCCCUGCAUUAGGGCCAGAUUCUCACUCAGAUGGAAGUUAUUAACUUUAAGCAGAACGGAGCCUAUUUCAGCCAGCCCCAGCCCGUGCCCUUCUAACACAGUCACUUUACAGCAUCCCCUUGUUUAUUUUUUUUCUUUGGAGGGCAUGAUUCUUUAAACGUGUUUGUUUUAUGCAGAAAAGCAGUUGAUGCCUAACUUUUUUUCCCCCCACAAACCUGUAAAGAGAAUAUUAAUAGGGAGUAUUAAUAGAGCUGAGUGCAUCACGAUGCUAGUUAGAUUGUAGUAGCUGAGAAAUAUGAACUAGUGAACAUAAUCCAUAAACUCCAUUUGGUUACUAUAAUACUCCAAUCUGUAUUUAUUACAACCCCACUCUGAUGCUUAUACAACUGCAAUUGCUAGAUUUAUACACCCUAAUGGUUUCACAAUAGGAAAAACCUGUGUUCUUUAUCUUUCUUUUCCUGUCCAAAAUAACCCCUUCCACAUAUACUUCAGGCUUCUCCGGACCUUGUCUGGGUUUAAUCACAGGCUGUGGGACAAAAUGUGCAUUAUUAAGAAAUAUAAAUAUUUUCAGAAGCAAUCAAAGGGUUGAAAGAUUGAUUCGGCAUGUAGAUUGGAUUUAAUUCGAAGCAGCUUUGUUCUAAUGAGGACUACUGGGAUACAAAGACGGCAGCCGCUUACGGCCACCAGUUGGGAACUUCGACUCGCUGCAGCAACCUGUCAAGAAUUUCAAGAAACUGCCAGGAAUUCGGAAGAUGCCCACGUCUAAGACGACAGUGGUGAGGAUCGGGCCAAAAUCCAGAUCCAGCCUGGAUUCCUCCAUCUGAGUAGUCCUGUCUCGACCUACGACUGCUGAUGGAUUGCAGGAACGUGGACCUUUCUCUCUCCUUACCCCCCAGCAUCAGAUCACCAAGAGGGCCUGAGAUAAUACUGGAUGAACCCCCACAGGACCAGGAAUGGAAAGCGUGGGGACAGAGACAUGGUCGAUACAGCUGGUUCCCCAACUCUCCCUC